UAGUGGCGAACGGGUGAGUAACACGUGAGCAACCUGCCCCGAAGACCGGGAUAACAGCGGGAAACCGCUGCUAAUACCGGAUGUCCCCACCGGAUCGCAUGGUCUGAUGAGGAAAUGGAUUCCGCUUCGGGAGGGGCUCGCGGCCUAUCAGCUUGUUGGUGGGGUAACGGCCCACCAAGGCGACGACGGGUAGCUGGUCUGAGAGGACGAUCAGCCACACUGGGACUGAGACACGGCCCAGACUCCUACGGGAGGCAGCAGUGGGGAAUAUUGCGCAAUGGGCGAAAGCCUGACGCAGCAACGCUGCGUGAGGGAUGAAGGCCUUCGGGUUGUAAACCUCUUUCAAGCAGGGACGAUAAUGACGGUACCUGCAGAAGAAGCUCCGGCCAACUACGUGCCAGCAGCCGCGGUAAUACGUAGGGAGCGAGCGUUGUCCGGAUUCAUUGGGCGUAAAGAGCUCGUAGGCGGCUUGAUAAGUCGGAUGUGAAACCUCCAGGCUCAACCUGGAGUCGCCAUCCGAUACUGUCAUGGCUAGAGUCCGGUAGGGGCCCAUGGAACUCCUGGUGUAGCGGUGAAAUGCGCAGAUAUCAGGAAGAACACCGGUGGCGAAGGCGGUGGGCUGGGCCGGCAC
rnacentral:rRNA from 1 species